AACGAACGCUGGCGGCAGGCUUAACACAUGCAAGUCGAACGCCUAUAGCAAUAUAGGAGUGGCGCACGGGUGAGUAAUACUUGGGAACGUGCCUUAGAGUCUGGGAUAACUGCGGGAAACUGCAGCUAAUACCGGAUAUUCCCUCCGGGGGAAAGAUUUAUCGCUCUAAGAUCGGCCCAAGCCAGAUUAGCUAGUUGGUGAGGUAAUGGCUCACCAAGGCAACGAUCUGUAGCUGUUCUGAGAGGAAGACCAGCCACACUGGAACUGAGACACGGUACAGACUCCUACGGGAGGCAGCAGUGGGGAAUAUUGGACAAUGGGCGAAAGCCUGAUCCAGCCAGGCCGCGUGUGUGAAGAAGGUCUUCGGAUUGUAAAGCACUUUAAGUUGGGAGGAAGGUCUGUAAGCUAAUAUCUUGCAGUCUUGACGUUACCAACAGAAUAAGCACCGGCUAACUUCGUGCCAGCAGCCGCGGUAA
rnacentral:rRNA from 1 species